rnacentral:rRNA from 1 species
UAAAAAUUUAAUUUAAAAUAUUUAAGUAGUAUUAGUUAAGGUCUUUAAAUUUAAAAAAUUUGGCGGUAUUUUAGUCUAUUCAGAGGAACCUGUUUUAUAAUCGAUAAUCCACGAUGGAUCUUACUUAAAUUUAUUUUAGUUUAUAUAUCGUCGUUAUAAGAAUAUUUUAUAAGAAUAAUAAUUUUCUUGAUUUUUUAAUUUAAAAUAUAUCAGAUCAAGAUGUAGCUUAUGUUUAAGUUUAUAAUGGGUUACAUUUAUUGUAAUAUUGGAAAUUAAUAUGUAAUUUAUUUUUUAAAAUUGGAUUUGAUAGUAAAUUUAUAUAGAUUAAUAAAUUGAUUAUAGCUCUAAAAUAUG